rnacentral:rRNA from 1 species
UACGUAGGGGGCAAGCGUUGUCCGGAAUCAUUGGGCGUAAAGAGCGCGUAGGCGGCCCUGUAAGUCCGCUGUGAAAGUCAAGGGCUCAACCCUUGGAUGCCGGUGGAUACUGCAGGGCUAGAGUCCGGAAGAGGCGAGUGGAAUUCCGUGGUCGGUAGCGGUGAAAUGCGCAGAUAUCAGGAGGAACACCGAUGGCGAAGGCAGCUCGCUGGGACGGUACUGACGCUGAGGCGCGAAAGCGUGGGGAGCAAACAGG